AAAAGCUGGUUGUUGUAGCCUACUGAGGCAUAUUGGAUACGAAACGCAAGGACCAUUUUAUUAGUGGAGUAGGAUCACACAAAAAAUAACUGUAUAUGGUAACAGCAAGAAUUCAAGUAAAUCGGAAUUUGUACGGAACAAUAUCCCAUCACAGUACCGGUAACAGGGCAAGGCAUCAAGACCGGAAGGGUGCCGUACGUAACGGAGACUAUAUGAACGUCUAUAUACUGAUAUAUACAAUACGCCAGGAAAGGAAAUCAUAUUAUUUGAAAAGCUGACGGAUCAAGUAUAUAGCCGCCUAGAGUUCACUCUUGAAUGAAGAGCAGGGAGAGAUUUGUCGCUGUCGAGGAGAUUGGUGUCAUCCGCGAAUAAUUUUGAGAAGAAUGAUGAACAAUGGGCGAGAUCGUUGAUGUAGAUCAAAAAUAAUAAAGGCCUCAAAUUAGAUCCUUGUGGGACCCCGUGUGUCACAGAUUUGAAGAGCGGUAUCACUCGAGCGACUUUGAGUGAUGAAGGGAAGAUUCCUAAUGCGAGGGAGCAGUUGAACAAUUUCACGAGAAAAGGCGCGAGCAGUUCAGCAACGAAUUUUAGGAAGCGAGGUGGGAUGUUAUCCGGGCCAACUGCCUUUCUUUCCUUCAAAUUCAGAAUUUCCAUCAUUAAUUCGGAUUCAGUGGCCAAAGUCAUGAAAAUGGAUUUACUAACACGGUUACAAAGAAAUGGCCUAAAGUCACACAUAUCAUUGGAAAACUUGGCUGCCAAGCUAGAUCCGACCGUAGAGAAAUACUUAUUGAAUUCAGCCGCGAUUAAGCAACCGUCUUUCAGUAUACUGCCAUUUUCAAGACAGAUUUCCUGAAUUAUUUGUUUAUUUGAGUUAUUUUUUGUGGUUGUAAGUUGGUUUAUAAUUUGCCAUGUAUACCUUGGAUUGCCCUUGUUCUGAGAGAUAAGAUUUUGGUAGUGAAUUUGCUUCGCUUUUUCUAAUGCGGAAGUAAGUAUGUUUCGAUACUUCUUAAAGUAUGACCGUUGCAGAGGGUUGCCACAUAAAAAAUGGGUUUUAAAUAACUUAUUUCUAUGUCUCGUACAAUUGAUCAACCCUUUGGUUAGCCAUGGCUUUAACCUUAACCGUUUUUGCCGACGUGAUAGUGGUCGAAGUGGGGCAUGCCGAUCGAUGGUACUAACGAAUGACUGUAUGAAUUCAUCAAAUAUGCUGUCAAAGUUCUCAGCGUUUAAACUAAUUGUGGCAAAUCGAUUAUUUAUGCUGUUUUGAACCUCAGAUCGAAAGGCAUCAAUUGAGAACCUUGACAUAUCCCUUGACAAUAUACACUCAUUCGUUUUAAUAGGUUUGAUGCCACUUAAACAGCAAAGGAUGGGAUAGUGAUCGGUUACGUCAGAAAGAACAACAUAAGAAUCUAUUUUUA